GACGAACGCUGGCGGCGUGCUUAACACAUGCAAGUCGAACGGAAAGGCCCUGCUUUUGUUGGUUGCUCGAUUGGCGAACGGGUGAGUAACACGUGAGUAACCUGCCCUUGACUUUGGGAUAACUUCAGGAAACUGGGGCUAAUACCGGAUAUGAUCUCCUGCUGCAUGUUGUGGGUUGGAAAGUUUCGGCGGUUGUGGAUGUACUCGCGGCUUAUCAGCUUGUUGGUGGGGUAGUGGCUUACCAAGGCUUUGACGGGUAGCCGGCCUGAGAGGGUGACCGGCCACAUUGGGACUGAGAUACGGACCAGAAUCCUACGGGAGGCAGCAGUGGGGAAUAUUGCACAAUGGGCGGAAGCCUGAUGCAGAAACGCCGCGUGCGGGAUGACGGCCUUCGGGUUGUAAACCGAUUUCGAAUGUAACGAAGAGUGAGUGACGGUAAUGGGUAAAGAAGCACCGGCUAACUACGUG
rnacentral:rRNA from 1 species